rnacentral:rRNA from 1 species
UACGGAGGUGCGAGCGUUGUCCGGAAUCACUGGGCGUAAAGGGUGCGUAGGCGGGUCUUUUAAGUCAGGGGUGAAAUCCUGGAGCUCAACUCCAGAACUGCCUUUGAUACUGAAGAUCUUGAGUUCGGGAGAGGUGAGUGGAACUGCGAGUGUAGAGGUGAAAUUCGUAGAUAUUCGCAAGAACACCAGUGGCGAAGGCGGCUCACUGGCCCGAUACUGACGCUGAGGCACGAAAGCGUGGGGAGCAACAGGAUUAAGA